rnacentral:rRNA from 1 species
UACGUAGGGUCCGAGCGUUAAUCGGAAUUACUGGGCGUAAAGCGCGCGUAGGCGGCUUUGUAAGUUAGAGGUGAAAGCCCGGGGCUCAACCCCGGAAUUGCCUUUAAGACUGCAUCGCUUGAAUCCGGGAGAGGUGAGUGGAAUUCCGAGUGUAGAGGUGAAAUUCGUAGAUAUUCGGAAGAACACCAGUGGCGAAGGCGACUUACUGGACGAUUGUUGACGCUGAGGUGCGAAAGCGUGGGGAGCAAACAGG